rnacentral:rRNA from 1 species
CAGUAGCCGCGGGAAUACGGAGGGGGCUAGCGUUGUUCGGAAUUACUGGGCGUAAAGCGCACGUAGGCGGCUUUGUAAGUCAGAGGUGAAAGCCCGGGGCUCAACCCCGGAAUUGCCUUUGAAACUAGGUGACUAGAAUCUUGGAGAGGUCAGUGGAAUUCCGAGUGUAGAGGUGAAAUUCGUAGAUAUUCGGAAGAACACCAGUGGCGAAGGCGACUGACUGGACAAGUAUUGACGCUGAGGUGCGAAAGCGUGGGGAGCAAACAGGAUUAGAUACCCCCGUAGUCCCUGUCUCUUAUAC